AGCUUUGCCCAGUGGCAGUAUCGCAGCCAGUGAGGUUUACCCGAGGCGCGAUUAUUGCUAAUUGAAAGCUGACUACGGUGAUAGCUGCACAGGUGUGAAUUGUACACUUUAAGUG
rnacentral:snRNA from 1 species